GGGUGUAGGUAUAUUUUAUCGCGGAUUUAUCCCCGGUCCCACUGGUACGAAAAUAAAUAGUAAAAAAUCAUGUCUAGGGCUACAAAAUUACAUAAAGCAAGCUGGUGUGCCCUAAGCCAAUUGCAGCAAUACAGAACUAAAUCAAACUUUUCUACGUCGAUUGCCUCUCGGAAUGAACUGUUUGCACAGGAGCAGCGCCGGCAACGAGACGCCGUUGGCCGUAUUGACAAGAUCGAGGUCCGUUAUUUGGGUUUGCCCGAGGAUGUGACUCUGGUGAUGAACAACCAUAUCUCCACGCCAUUCAACUGUGCACAGCACUUGAGUGAGGGACACUGCAGACGCACUGCUCUGGCUCUAAUCGAUGGUAGUGUCCCGUGGGAUAUGCACCGGCCCCUUCAGGAGUCCUGCACCUUGCAGUUGCUCAACUUUAAUGUCUCCGAGCCGCAUGUGGUCAACAAAGCCUUCUGGCGUACAUGCAGCUUCAUGCUGGGCGCUGCUUUGACGCGGGCAUUUAAGACGGAAGCGAACCUCCAAUUGCACAGCUUCCCGGGACCAAACAUCAAGUCGGGUAGCUUUAUUCACGAUAUCGUGCUGGAGACCCAAAACUGGCAGCCAUCGAAGUCGGAAAUGCGAGCCAUCUCGGCUGAAAUGAUUAGACUUGCGGCCCAGGAUUUGCGCAUCGAACGCUUGGACGUUCAGCAAGAGAUUGCCCAGGAGAUUUUUAAGGAUUCUAAAUACAAGAGCGAACAAUUGCCGAGUAUCGCGCAACAGAAUAAUGGGCGAGUGAGUCUGUACCGCCUGGGGGACCACAUUGACAUCUCACGUGGUCCCAUGGUGGCAUCCACUCACUUCCUAGGCAAGUGCACUGUCUCGGCGGCCCACAAGUUAGCCGAGGAAGGGUCAGCAGGAGCCUUCUAUCGCAUCCAAGGCGUGGCCCUGCCUUGUGGCUUCAAGUUGAGUCACGUUGCGUAUGGCUUGCUGGAGGAGCGAUCGCAGAAGCUGAACCCCGCUCGCUUGCCCCAUGAACCUUUUGAGGAGCAACAACAAUUGCAGUUAUCUUAAACAGAUCUUUAAUCGAUAAAAGCUUUACAAUAAGUGUUAACAGAUGCAUUAAUUGGACGUCGUUUAAGGUAUUACUCGUCAAAGUCUAUGGAGAGACGUAUGAGCUACAACUGUUUAACCUGUUGAACUUUUCCAGAGUUUUGCUAAAUAUUUGUUAAAGUCCCAUCACGGGUUUCGGACCAGGCUACCUAGAAAACUCGCAUUAAUUCAAAUGGCUUGAGAGCUCCAAGAAAUUUACCCGCUCUAUGGAGAACCAGACGCACUCAGAACCCGAAUCAGACUGAAAUCUCUUUGCUAUCGGCGGGGUAUGCACUGCCCACCGAAAAGCUUGAUUAAAAUAAUAAAACAACGAAAUAAAGACGAAUAUGUAAA